AGCGACUUGUGAAAAUGUUGAUGAGAUCGCAGCCAGAUAGGACAAGAGCUGUAUCGGUUCAGAAAUAUCUGCAUUAGGGGCUUGAAAAAACAGUACCAAGAUGAUGGGAUAUCCUGUACCCUUGGGAAAUAGAAAGGAAUACGUGCUCACUGGCAGCAAAAGCAGACAGACAUUGGUUCAGGGGAAGGACGGCUUCCUUGGCAUCAGGCAGGAAGGAGAAAUAAAGCUGAGUGUCAUCAGUGUCACCCAUGCCACCUCACCAGCUGCUACUGAUUGAGUCCCACCAUUUGUCAUCUUUUCUGAAGUUUGAUAAAGCUCCACAGUAAUGACAUCAAGGGAGUUCCAUGCUGAGAUGGUGAGGCCGUUGUACAGACACAGCAUGCCUAUCAUCAUGGAUUCACUUGUACCAAACCACAGGAAAAAACAGCUAAUUCCUGAAAGAACCAUAGAACCACCUGCACAUAAAGCAAAGGAACCACAGAGCUGCCCUCCCAACUCCGGUGUCACUGCAAUUUAACUGGACAGGGCCAUGAACAUGCAUCAGUGGGAGUGCCAAAUUGGUGGCAGGGCUACCAUCAGUGCCACCACACAGCCUCAACCUCACCACCACGUGUCCAAGUAAGCAGCAGCAACACUGCUGUCAGAAGGGCAACUCUGCCCCACAACGUAUGACACUACAGGAGUUUAUGUUCCAAUAACUUUUUGAAAAUUAUUUCAUUACACAAAUUAAAGAUUUGUUAUAAAAGAAUGUUUGCUCUCCUCCCCACCCCUGCCUCCAUCAACUUGGCACUCUUAAAGUGGGAGGUGGGAGACUGCUUAAAGUAUUUUUAUAAUCCAUUUUAAUGCAAAGUUCAUACCUAACAUUGUUAAACGCCCAAUUCUGUCCAUCAGAAGAGCUGAGACAAUAUUCCCUGGUAGUACAGCUAAAGUCCCCAGGAAAUUAACGAAGUAAAUCCAAUAUGCACUGUAAUCAUCAUCAAAAGAAAUUUGACAUCCUGUCUUGUUGUGAACGAACGUACAGUUUAUAAAUUGACUGCCAGGAUAUUUAUAGGGUUCAAGAUCUAUGGACACAAAGAAAAUGACAGAACAAUAUCAGGAACUCAUGAAAGCAUCUAUUUUAAAACAUUUCAAAUACUAAUAGAAAAAUCAAAGCAGUAUUUUGUCAGUACGAUCUGGACUACUUUCAGGUAACAAAUCAGAUGUUGCUGUAUGGUUCCAUGAGAGUCAUAUACAAACCAUAUUCCAGGUUGGUGUAAUCUGCAUAUGUGGGCACAAUCCUAUAUGCAGUUACAUGGGAGUAAGUCCCAUUAAACUCAAUGGAGCUUAUUUCUGAGUAGACAUAUGGGACUGCACUAUGUCACACCUGAUGCCUUUGCCAUUUUCUGAUCUUUUACCAUUAUUACUAAAUUCUUUAGAAGCAGAGAGCUUCCUCACUCUAGUGCAGAAAGGUCUAGAGUACAGUAAGUGUACUCUAUUUCCCCUAAUCAUAGAAUAGUAGAGUUGGAAGGGCCCUAUAAGGCCAUCAGGUCCAACCCCCUAAUCACUGUCCUUCACUUUGUGAAGUCUGGUUAAAACCUUCUUUGCAGGCUGCGUGAUCCCCUUAUCCAUUGUAGGACUGCACAUUUUCAAAAUUAAAAAUUAAAAUAAAGCAGCAAUAUGGUGCCCUCCAGGAAGUCUAUCGUUUCCCUCCUUCCCAGCCCAUCCAUUUCAUUGAGAUAUGAUACAACUGACUUGUUAGGAUAGCAUGUGAAGUCUAAUUGCAACAUAGAUUCACUGCUGAAUAUUUUAAAAAUUCCUUAUUUUCCUGUCUUUCCUCCCCACCCCAAACCUAUCAUUGUUGAAAACCCCAAUGACAUAAUAUACAUAAAUUACUUCCACUAUUAAUACGUAUUGUGAGCAUGAAACUUGUAUUUAUUCAAUGGCCAGCAAUUAAACAGCUUUGCUCUUAAUAAGUAACACCAGAAUCAAGAACAGCAACCACUUCAGCUCUCUGUUCUCUCAUAAACCUCUAGUAAACCAAGGUUUGAAGAUUUGAGUGGUCCCAAUGUUUAUUUAAUCACCCCCUGCUGCUAUUUACCUUAGAAGAUAGGUACAUGUUAACUGCAUUAAUGGUUAGUUUGGGCCUCGGAGGCUCCAUUCUGAAGCUUUAGGAGGUUAAGUGGGUGAAAAGGGCUUUUUCAGUGGUUGAAUCCCCUCCCCAGGCAGGUUGGAGCAGGUCUAGAUGACAGGUUAAGACUUUUUUAUUCUCCAAGGCUUUUGACGGGAAAUAGAUGGCUGCUGCUACAUCUAUAUGAUUUUUUCCCAAUUGCAUUUCUACAUUUUUUAAAGGAAUUGUUAUUGUAAAUUGUUUUGGAUACAGUACAUAAAUAUUUUAAAUUAAAUCUACAAUGUUCUUGUACUUCAAGAGGAAACUGGGUAGGGGAUUCCAGAGGUGGUGUUCUAUGACGGAGAGGCCCCAAGAUUUUACCAGUAACAAGCCUCCUGAAAGGAAGAAAUGAUAAAACAGGGGCUCCCCUAAUGACUUCCAGGCACAUGUCAGAAUGUGUAAUGCGUAUAAAAACAUUACACAAAUAGUGACCAUAUGGAAGGUAGAUACAACUACCCAUCUGAAAUCCUGAACGAUCCCUCCCACUGGUGGGCUGAAGAACUCCAUGAUUUGUUGCGUAACACAUCAUUAAGCCUGCUGGAAUUCUUGCAAAGGCUUUUGACCAUAAGCACUAAAAGUUUCACCUGACCUGACCUCAGCUGCCAAGGCUCACCUUUCCCCAUGAUUUAAUAAGCAGAGAGCCUCCGCCAUGCGCACUUAUCCUUAGCAGAAGCAGCUUCAUCACAGAGGGAUCAAGGGCAGGUCAACUCAAUGGCCUUAUAGGGCCCUUCCAACUCUACUAUUCUAUGAUUCAGCUGGGCUCUUUCCUUCAUUUUGUAUGUUCUGGUGCAGCUAAACGUUCCCUCUCUUCUUCCUCCAAAUGGAUAAGGAAGCUUGGCCAUAUCCGAGACAACAGAGUACAAGCCCAGCUAGCAAUUCAACUGCAGUUAGUAGGCACACUAGUAGAAAAAAGAGUUGUCUUUAAAUUUGUCUUGUAUUUCAUUGCAAUCGUAUAUAAGUAGUAUACCCCUGGCAAGAAAUGCUUGAGAAAAUGGGAUUCUCAUGGAGUUGGACAGCAAACAGUGUUUCCUUCCAACACAGCAUACCUGUGUUGAAGAAAGUGGUCUCCACGAAAGUGCAGUCCCUAAAAUAUGUAUUCAGUGUAGUAACAUCUUCAAAAUAACAGGUCUUAAAGAGGCUAUCUUGAAACGUAACCGCUUUGAAUUUCAUCAUUGUAAACCUGAGCAAUAGAAAUGAUUUGCAGUCAGCUUAAAGCAUGAAUAACAAGAGGCCUUUUGGAAGUAUAUCUGAAUAGAUACUACAACAGUAUGACUCAAUUUAAAUGUCACAUAUCAUUCAAACCAUGGUAGCUUGAAAGUCAAUACUCUCAAAGUAACUAUGAUUUAGAGGUUAUAAACAUGCUACAGACAUGAAAUAUAUCUUUCUAUCUUGCAUGCAAAGUCCUUCUCUUUGCUGGUUUGCUAGGUGACAAUGUGACCAGUCAAACUAUGGUUAGAGCUAACAAGAAAUUGCCUCCAAACCACAAAAUAAAACCAUGGUGUGGAGACAAUUCCUGGUUAGCACUAAAUAUAGUUUAGUUAAUUUAGACCUCUGAGCAACCAAUGGUUAUUGUAACCCAGAAAAGGAGAGGACAGACCUCAAGAGAAACAGAGGAGAAGAGAGGGUAAGAGCCUCUAGCUGGUUUCCCAUCCUCCAACUGAAUUGAAACUAUAAUCCUUAAGGCUCAAACCUCCAAAAGUAAAAGAAUAAAUCCUGAAAUAUAAAAGAAGUUAUAUAUCUCAGUUUAACCUAUGUUGCAAUGUUGUUACAACAUUUGAUAAACCAGUGAAUGCAGCCCUGGGUUUCUUAGAAAAACGUAGUAAAUAAAUACCUAAGCAAUUAGAGUGAAUAGUAAUGUAGUUCAAAGAAUAGUAUAAUGAAAUCAUGCUGGAUCAAUGUUCAAGCAAUAGCCUGAGAUAGCCAUGGAUAUGUCACUGCCUUUCAGGUUGCAAUCUCUGCUUCUUUUACAUGAACUACUUCCCACAGUAGUCAAUCUCUAUGCAAUGUCAAGGAAAGUUCUCUCUGCAUGAUCAAGAAUUAUCACAAUAAGCCUCCCAAAACUAAACAUGACAAGUAUUAAGCAUGAAAAUGAGGGGGUAUAUUGAUGCACACUACUAAUGAUUUAUUUCAUAAAGUAAUGAAUUAAUUUAUGAUCUAAUUUAUUUUUCUCAACCUGUCAUUGAUGAAUGUUCCAUUCAAGUGGAUCUGAUUUUCCAAAGUAAAGUUGAAGUCAAAGUCUUUUACUUUUUCAUUUUCAAAACUCUUCCGUCUAGAAGCAUACUCAUCUGCUUGUAGAUGCUUAAUCACAUCUGGAAACCAGACUGACAAUCCAUAGUAGCUGCAAAAAGUGAUAGGUAUAUAACUGCAACAAAUUUAAUUUCAAAGAAGUACAGUAGAAUUACAUUUUUAAAAAACUCAGAUGAACCCACAAAAUCCUAGUGUUUUGUUGAAUGUGCACUGAUAAAAAGUAGCAUUUUACAAUUCACAGAGUGCGUUUGGAUAUAAUAGAAAACCAUGGUUUACAGUUGAGAAACCCAGCUUUUGCCUGUGUUCAUGUACUCGUCUCCUUUGGCAUGGCCAUGAGAAAAUCUGAAGCUUCCACUAAACCAUAGUUUUGCAAGUUGUCCAAACCAUAAGAAGUGGUUAAUCUUAACUGUAGUUAAUGAAAACAAGUCAGUUUCAUAAACUAUGGUUUGAAUUUGGCUUGUUUCCACUAACCACAACCAAGAUUACUUGUAGUUUCUCCUGGUUUGGACAACAUGAUAAACUCUGGCUAAUCAAAAAUCCUGUGGGAAAUGCACUGGCAGAGCGAACUCCCCCACAGGUCAACUUUGACAGGCAGGUUGUAAUUAUAAUGUCAGAUGAAUGACAGGUGGGUGCCCCUGCUCACUUGUCAGAGUUGGUCCAUGGAGAUGGGAUCCACUGGGCCAAAAAUGCCCCAUCCCUGUACUAAAUCAUGUAUAUUAAAAUGAUUUUUUCACUUUAUAAGUUGAAAUUGGGAAAAUGUUCUCAUUUUUAACUGUAACAUUGCACUCUGCCUGUGUUCUGGAGUUCACACUCUCCAGAACAGGGACUCCACAACAUAUUCAAGAGUUUCCUCAAUAUGCACUGAAAUAUUCAGGAUAUGCUGAGGAUCUCAGGCUCCAAAUCCUAGAAUAUCAUCUAAAGACAGGAAAGCAACCAUAACCUGAUGGUAACAGUGACUUUUUGAAACAUCUUAGGAGUAUGUAUAAGUUCAGGGGUUAGAGUAAGGGUUAGCACUAUUUAUCCCAUUUCUUUUAUUUCUUUGCUCAUGAGCUUAUCAUACAGCCACAAGAGUGGCUGUAAACUAUAUCCAGCAUGCAUUUUUCACAUUUCACACUCUGCCAUGUUAAAUUGGAAAUAUCCACCAUGCCAUUCUUACAAAACUUCUAGUCCUAAAUUCAGAAACACCUGCAAAAGUUUUCACAGUGAUACACAAAACACUUGGGAGAGAAUCCAGAGUUCAAAGUCUAAAACAAGAGUAAAAAAAUCCAGGCCCAUGUUGGACUUUUUUCUGAUAGUGGUCUCACAGUUUGUUGUAAUUAAUUAAAAAUCAACCAUGUUCACAGAGUACAUGUAAUCCUAUUACUGACCUUGACCCAUACUCUGACCUCUGAAAAGAGGUGAAAGAAGCACCCCUGUCUAGUGCCUGUAGACAGAGUAAAUGUUUUGGACAUCAUACCAUUUACACAGACUUUGAUUGUAGGAUCUGUAUAAAUUACUUGAAUUUUUAUGUUAAAUCUGUGUCCAAAAUUGAAAAAUUGUAAUGUCGCAAAAAUGCUUAUAAAAAUGUCUUUUCUGCAUCAAUAAAUAGUAAUGUUGCUUCCUG